ACAUGGAACGAGUGGCGGACGGGUGAGUAACACGUGGGUAACCUGCCCUUAAGUGGGGGAUAACAUUUGGAAACAGAUGCUAAUACCGCAUAGAUCCAAGAACCGCAUGGUUCUUGGCUGAAAGAUGCGUAAGCUAUCGCUUUUGGAUGGACCCGCGGCGUAUUAGCUAGUUGGUGAGGUAAUGGCUCACCAAGGCGAUGAUACGUAGCCGAACUGAGAGGUUGAUCGGCCACAUUGGGACUGAGACACGGCCCAACUCCUACGGGAGGCAGCAGUAGGGAAUCUUCCACAAUGGACGCAAGUCUGAUGGAGCAACGCCGCGUGAGUGAAGAAGGCUUUCGGGUCGUAAAACUCUGUKKUUGGAGAAGAAUGGUCGGCAGAUAACUGUUGUCGGCGUGACGGUAUCCAACCAGAAAGCCACGGCUAACUACGUGCCAGCAGCCGCGGUAAUACGUAGGUGGCAAGCGUUAUCCGAAUUUAUUGGGCGUAAAG
rnacentral:rRNA from 2 species